rnacentral:rRNA from 1 species
GCUCAGGAUGAACGCUAGCUACAGGCUUAACACAUGCAAGUCGAGGGGCAGCAUGGUCUUAGCUUGCUAAGGCCGAUGGCGACCGGCGCACGGGUGAGUAACACGUAUCCAACCUGCCGUCUACUCUUGGACAGCCUUCUGAAAGGAAGAUUAAUACAAGAUGGCAUCAUGAGUCCGCAUGUUCACAUGAUUAAAGGUAUUCCGGUAGACGAUGGGGUUGCGUUCCAUUAGAUAGUAGGCGGGGUAACGGCCCACCUAGUCUUCGAUGGAUAGGGGUUCUGAGAGGAAGGUCCCCCACAUUGGAACUGAGACACGGUCCAAACUCCUACGGGAGGCAGCAGUGAGGAAUAUUGGUCAAUGGGCGAGAGCCUGAACCAGCCAAGUAGCGUGAAGGAUGACUGCCCUAUGGGUUGUAAACUUCUUUUAUAAAGGAAUAAAGUCGGGUAUGGAUACCCGUUUGCAUGUACUUUAUGAAUAAGGAUCGGCUAACUCCGUGCCAGCAGCCGCGGUAAUACGGAGGAUCCGAGCGUUAUCCGGAUUUAUUGGGUUUAAAGGGAGCGUAGAUGGAUGUUUAAGUCAGUUGUGAAAGUUUGCGGCUCAACCGUAAAAUUGCAGUUGAUACUGGAUAUCUUGAGUGCAGUUGAGGCAGGCGGAAUUCGUGGUGUAGCGGUGAAAUGCUUAGAUAUCACGAAGAACUCCGAUUGCGAAGGCAGCCUGCUAAGCUGCAACUGACAUUGAGGCUCGAAAGUGUGGGUAUCAAACAGGAUUAGAUACCCUGGUAGUCCACACGGUAAACGAUGAAUACUCGCUGUUUGCGAUAUACUGCAAGCGGCCAAGCGAAAGCGUUAAGCAUUCCACCUGGGGAGUACGCCGGCAACGGUGAAACUCAAAGGAAUUGACGGGGGCCCGCACAAGCGGAGGAACAUGUGGUUUAAUUCGAUGAUACGCGAGGAACCUUACCCGGGCUUAAAUUGCAGAUGAAUUACGGUGAAAGCCGUAAGCCGCAAGGCAUCUGUGAAGGUGCUGCAUGGUUGUCGUCAGCUCGUGCCGUGAGGUGUCGGCUUAAGUGUCAUAACGAGCGCAACCCUUGUUGUCAGUUACUAACAGGUUCCGCUGAGGACUCUGACAAGACUGCCAUCGUAAGAUGUGAGGAAGGUGGGGAUGACGUCAAAUCAGCACGGCCCUUACGUCCGGGGCUACACACGUGUUACAAUGGGGGGUACAGAGGGCCGCUACCACGCGAGUGGAUGCCAAUCCCCAAAACCUCUCUCAGUUCGGACUGGAGUCCGCAACCCGACUCCACGAAGCUGGAUUCGCUAGUAAUCGCGCAUCAGCCACGGCGCGGUGAAUACGUUCCCGGGCCUUGUACACACCGCCCGUCAAGCCAUGGGAGCCGGGGGUACCUGAAGUGCGUAACCGCGAGGAGCGCCCUAGGGUAAAAC